CGUCACGCCGACCUUCCCAAGUCUAUAUGGCAAUUCCUGCUCAACUACGGAGAUUCCGAUAAAAAUUCCGGUUUAAAUCGUUCAAGUAGAUUAGACUAUAAAUGAACGAAACCAAAAAUUGAGAUCCUGGUCCUGGCUGAAAUUUAGAGUAUUGUAGCUGUACAUAGCCUGUACCAUACAUUCAACAUGAAAAGGACUGUUAGCUAGAGCCUAGAAUGAUAAUUUCUUGGGAAUAUGCUGAAAGUAACAGACGGGGAGCAGUUUUUCUUACCAAUCAUAGAAGCAGUAAGAGACAGCCAAAGAAGUACUCAAACACUUGACAUACACAUAUUGUAGCUUAAUUGUUAAAACUAUUAAAGUGAAUUUAAGCUGCACUUGAACUGUAUUUUUGAAAUAAAAUAUCUGAAGUAUUUAAUAUUGUCUUGAUAUUUUGUUAAACUUGGUUACUUUGCUUUAUAUCCAAAAAUUAAAGUAUGGUUGGUUUUCAACGUUGAAAUGACAUUGAAACUUCAACGUUGUGCCAAUGUUGAAGCUGCAACGUUGUAUCAACGUUGAAAUUUCAACGUUGUUUAAACUUUCAAAUCCGAAUAUAAAUCCAACCUUAUUUCAACGUUGAAAUCUGACCAU